UGAAUAGUUUUGCUGGUAGAGCAUGAGACUCUUAAUCUCAAGGUUGCGGGUAUGAGCCCCACAACGAGCAAAA